CCGUCUCCCCCCUCUUGCGUUAUUGCUUCUUGCUACCUGCUAGCGCUAGUAGUCUUCUUCUUCCUCCUCAUCCUCUGCUAUCUAGACAUCCAGCCCCUUCGGUUCCUUGCUAUAUAUACGGCUGCCAUUGGAGCGCUGCUUCAACACACCAUCCACUGCCACUUGAGCCAACCAACAAGACACUCGCCUGUUAUUCAAAGAUCUACCCGUGCUCCAGCCAAACACUCGCAGCGAGCGGCAAGAUGAAGCUUGUUGGAGGCCAGAGGAGGCAGAGGGGGUUCGGCAAGGCCCUCAAGGAGCAGAGGGCCAGGCUCUACAUCAUCCAGCGCUGCGUCGUCAUGCUCCUGCGCUGGCACGACUGAUCCCACCAGAUCCAUUGGAGAAGCUUCGUCUAUCCGAGUCCGACGACAUGGAUCGAUCGGUGGGAUCGUCUUUGCCCUGCCCCUGAUGCUUCAUCGGGUGCCAAAGUUUUGGGGGGUGUUCUGGGUUUGUCUCUGUGCUGGUGCCAGAAUGGUCGCCGGCUGCUGUACAUAGAGGGACAGGGACAAUAUAGCGUAGUAGUACAAAUUAGAGGUGGUAGCAGUAGGAUUCACUGUGGUGUUCGUCAGUGUCUCUCCCCCCCUGAUAACUAGUGUGACAAUGUACAAUCACAUCAGUGUGGAAUGCCAAAUCAAUGAACAGAGAACAAGCAACGGAUCGAUCACAAUACAUGCCUGCCUCUUCAUCUUUUUCAGUUUAAUUUCUAGCAUUGUGGGUGCAGAACUGCAGGUGCAUAGAUUCUGGCAGUUUCGCUUUGAGCUGUUUCUUUUCCUCUUCUUUGCCAGAGCAGGAGCACAUCUGAUGAAUCUCGGAUUCAAAACUUCAGGCUACAGAGUGCGUGUACUCCUCUGAUUCUGAGGUCUUAUCAUGGACUUCCCAUUACCUGCAUCCGAAGAAAUGAACAUCAAGACUUCAAACGAAACAACACAACUCAUUUUUACAUCUUAUCGGCCUUCCAUCAACUGGAUGCUUGCAGCUCGUCGGACUCUUGACUUCUGAACGCCCGGUCAUUCUCAUGGGCUCAUGGCAAACCAAUGCAAUCAUAUGGCAAAAUUACCUAUAUUCAUAAACGCAACAUAUGGUCACCAUGUACAUUUAUUUUUUAUUUUAUCCCCUAUUUAUUUAUUUUCACCUUUGUUCCAAAGAUAUCUGAUUAGUUCAUCUCUGUUGAUUGACUCA